UUGUCCCUACGGGGGGCAGCAGUGGGGGAUAUUGCACAAUGGGGGAAACCCUGAUGCAGCGACGCCGCGUGUGGGAAGACGGUCCUCUGGAUUGUAAACCACUGUCCCCAGGGACGAAGAUGACGGUACCUGGGGAGGAAGCUCCGGCUAACUACGUGCCAGCAGCCGCGGUAAUACGUAGGGAGCGAGCGUUGUCCGGAAUUAUUGGGUGUAAAGGGAGCGUAGGCGGGCGAGAAAGUUGAAUGUUAAAUCUACCGGCUUAACUGGUCGCUGCG
rnacentral:rRNA from 1 species